UGCAUCUAGGCGAAGAACCCCCGGGGCCGGCCCAGGACAUGCUGGCGGCACGAUGUCGCUCGGCUGGCCUGGGAUCGCCUGGGAAUUACCCUGGAAGAGCAAGAGUCCGUCGCCAAGAAAGGGAGUUCUGGACCACCCUAUUCAAAGGACGAGGCUGUGGGUCGUCUCCGUAGAGGGUUGAGCCUGGCUGCGCUGGAGCUCGUCACACGGACGUCUCGAACGGCUGACUCUCCUGCUUCGUGGGCCGCGAUGAUUUGAAGAACACCCCUCUACUGUCUCCCUCACCUGCUUUUUAUCCUACCUAUCACAAAAGGUAUCUGCAUCUAGGCGAAGAACCCCCGGGGCCAGCCCAGGACAUGCUGGCGGCACAAUGUUCCUCGGCUGGCCUGGGAUUGCCUGGGAAUUACCCUGGAAGAGCGAGAGUCCGUCGCCAAGGAAAGAGAGUUCUGGACUGCCCUACUCGAUAUGAUACCGCCGCAACCCUCACCAGAACAAGCGGAUUGAGAAACUAACGAACAAUAUCUGCAUCUGCGUUUUAGGGUCGACCAAAACCGGGGGAUCAUCUGCGUUGGGUCUUUCACAAGGUAUUUGCAAGUUCUUAUGAACUCCAGCUUUCCAAGCUUCAUCAAGGUUGAAUUCACAUUGUUGAAGGUUAAGCGAAUGGGUCCUAAAGGGCUAUGGAAAACCCCUGGAUACAUCUUAAAUGUCCCCUGCAUUGCAGAAUUAUAUUUCAUCUGCAAAUGGAACGGUCUCGUUACCUGUGUGGAAGUUGAUCUUGUUAAUUAUAAUUAUAAGUUGUAUUUUUCGUUUUACCAGUUGCAGUCAUUAAGG